AUUAUAUGGAGAGUUUGAUCAUGGCUCAGGAUGAACGCUGGCGGCGUGCCUAAUACAUGCAAGUCGAACGCGACACUUUCGGGUGUCGAGUGGCGGACGGGUGAGUAACACGUGGGUAACCUGCCCAUCAGCCUGGGAUAACCACCGGAAACGGUGGCUAAUACCGGAUAUGUCUACGGAUGAAAGUCGGAUUAUCUGACACUGAUGGAUGGACCUGCGGCGCAUUAGCUAGUUGGUGAGGUAGUGGCUCACCAAGGCGACGAUGCGUAGCCGACCUGAGAGGGUGAUCGGCCACAC
rnacentral:rRNA from 1 species